GGCGCUGUAGCCCAAUUGGCAGGAGGCAAAUGAUUUAGGAUCAUUACAGUGUGGAUUCGAAUUCCACCGGCGCUA
rnacentral:tRNA from 1 species